GUAAUCCCAACUGUCUCCUUAUUUUUUAUCUCUUUUCUCUCCUAUUUUACCCGAGGAUUCGAAUCUCAUCUCUAAACAGAUCGAUAUCUUUUCUCCUCUUUUAAUACAAAUAUUUGUCGCCCACCUCCUUUUGGUGUUUUGAUCCUUGUGUUUUUUAUAUGGCAGGUAUGAUAUACUUUUCUGGGGCUCUCUACUAUUCUUGCCUUCUUGUCUUCUUUGUCUUUUUCAUGAAAUUUUUCAUAUCUUUUUUUAUGAAAAUUCCGUAAAUCAUAUUUUUAAAUUAAUUAUUUACAUCUUCUACUUUUAUUUAUUUACUCAUUACCUAUAUCAUAUUUAUCUAUGAACUAUUUCUUUUAUUAAUUAAUUGAAAAAGUCAUUACCCUUGAGUUCUUCAAACAAAUGGUUCAUUUGUUGUAAUAGAUUGGUCAUCUGUCGGAAGAACUGAAAAACAGGAUUGAGUUCUUCCAAUAGAUGGAUCAUUUAUUAGAACAGAUUGGUCAUCUAUUGGGAAAACUUAAAAAGCUUAGUACUAUUGGUGUUAUUUGUUUGCUUGUUGUUGGUUUUGUUAUUUGUUUUUGGUUUUUGAUGUUGCAUGUGUUAUUUGUAUUGUUGGUGUUGGUGGCGGUAGUAUUGAUGGUGUUGGAGUUAAAACAGGUGGAACAUAUGGUGGAAGAUAUUAAAAUAGGUCUUUCAAGAGAUUCUCCAUCUGUUUCAACUGAUGAAUCAACUGUUGGAAUAAAUGAAAAUAGCUCUUCCAAUAGAUGACCCAUCUAUUGCAAUAGAUAGAUCACCUAUUGGAAGAAAUCAAACCAUUAGCAAGACUGUCUUGAUUUCUUCCAAUAGAUGACUCAUCUAUUGCAACAUGUUGGUCAUUAGUUGCAACAAAUGGGUCAUCUAUUGAAAUUCUUAUUAUAAUGUAUUGUAUUAUAAUAAUUUUUUUGUUUUUCUCUUUUUUAUAGAUAAAAGAUAUCCUCGAAAAGAAAAGGAAGUGAAAGUAUAUCAACUAUUGCCCGACCAACAUAAAAGGGUAGAGUAAGAUGGGUUUAGAGGAAUAAGAUGCUUGUAAAUAGAUCCACUUUAAUGUGGCAGGUUGUACUACUAAUCAGGUUAUCAUGAAAACCCACAUAAAGUACAAUGAUUUUAAUAAUAUUAUUUUUCACCAAUUAGGCAUUGAUCAUUGUAACAAGAUAUUACAUUUUACAGUUAAGUUUGACAGGUUCGAACUAAUAAGGAAGACGGACCUAGAAGGCGGUGUCGAUACCCUGUUACAGUUUAAUGAUGAUUUUUCUAAUGUUCAUGUGUCAAGUUCGGAGAAGGGAUCAAGUUUUGGUGGCAGUGUACAGAUUCAAUAGUGAUUGGACUGAUUUUAAGGGUUCAAUGGACUUUUGAAAGGCCUCUAAAUCCUCUCACUGCUACAAACAAGAAUGAAAAUCCCAUAGAAAUUACCAUAGUCCAAAUUUAUAUAGAUGGUUGCUCAGGGUGAUGAUUAUACAAUAGAAGGUGCUUGGUAUAAUAUCUACAAGAGAAGAGAGAGAUAUUGAAGACUGUCUUAACUCAGACCUUAUUAAAAAAACAUAGGUAGCAAAGAACUUGUAGCAAAUCUGGCUAAUGAAACUGACAUAAAAAAUGAAAAAAUUGAAUGAACAUAAAAAAUGAAAGUAUAUUAAAAAAUGAAAAUCCAUCACUCAUUAUUGAAAAUAAAAAUGGAAAAGUGGAAUGUAGUUGUGCACUUUGCAAGGAACUGCGACUAGUUAGCAUGGUCUGAAAUGAUCACAUCCAAAGAAAGAAACACAAAUCCAAGAAAGAAGUUUUGCGAGCACNNNNNNNNNNNNNNNNNNNNNNNNNNNNNNNNNNNNUGAAAUAAGGGAUCAAGAAAGGGUGGAAAUUUCUAAAUUUAAACUUUCAUCCUAUACCUUCUAUUUGUGGCUCUGGUCAAGUCAAUUACUGAGGAAACAAAAGGGCAUCGGAUUUCUGCUCAACUUCAGACCUUUUUUUUCCACUGAUAUUAACUUGAUUAGAAUCACAAACAAAAGGCAUAGGAUUCAAGUUUAACUUUAGAAAUUACCACUUUGGCUUGAUCCCUUAUUUAAACUUCAGUAGUUCUUGGUACAAGUUUCAUUCUUGAUUAUAGAUCUUCCCAUCCCUCGGUGCUCACAAAAUGGCUUCCUUGGACUUUUGUUUCUUUCAUUGGAGGUAAUCAUUCAAACCAUGCUAACUAGUUGCUAUUACCAAGAAAAGUGUACAACUACAGUCCACUUUACCAUUCUUCUUUUCAAUAACGACUGACGAUUUUACAUUUUUAGAUACAUUUUCAUAGUUGCAGCUCAUUAGGAUUUUCAUUUUUAAAGUCAAUUUCAUUGGCCAGAUUCACUAUAAGUUCCUUGCUUGCUAUCCUAUAUUUCUUGUUUAAUAAGUAAUGAGUUGGUAUUGUCUUCAACAACUUCACUUUAUCAUACCGAUAUUCUCUUACAACAUGUUCUUCUGUGUAAUCAUCACCCCGAGCAACCCAUCCAUAUAAAUUUAGAACAUGGGAAUUUCUAUUGGUUUUCCAUUCUUGUUUGUUUCACUGGGAGGCUUCGAAGGCCUUCUCAAACUCUAUUACACCAAUAAAACCAGUCCAAUCUCUAUUACAUCUCUACACUACUAUUAAAUAUGGAUCCCUUAUCCAAACUUAAUGCGUAAACAUGAGCAAAGCCUUCAUUAAAUUGUAAUAGAGUAUCAACACCACCUUCUUGGUCCCUCAGCCUUAUCAAUUUAGACCUAUCCAACUUACAUAUAAAAUGCAGGAUCUUAGUUGAAAGAUCAAUGCGUGAUCGGUAAUAAAUAAUAUUCAAAAAAUCAUUCUACUUUAUGUGUGGUGUUAUGAUAACCUGAUCAGUAAUACAUACCUUCCACAUAUGAAAAUAGAUCCAUCUAUUUGCAUACACCUUAUUCUUCCUACCCCAUCAACGUCAAAUAGUGUUUUAUCUUCAAUUCCCAUCAUGAAGUAUUGUAAGAAACUGUAGAGGCUCAAAGGGAAACAAUCUUCAAAACCUUUCUUCUUAAUCUUCUAGGAAGGGUAACAAUAUUCUUACAAAAUAAAAACCUGAUUGAGAAACUCUUUCUGCUACUGGAUUGAGUUCUUCCUACAGAUGACCCAUAUGUUGUAACAAAUGGGAAAUCUAUUGGAAGAACUCAAACCAAUAUAAAAGGUUUUAAGUUCUCUAACAGAUGACCAAUCUUUUACAAUAGAUAGCUCGUUUGUUAAACAUAUGGAUCAUCCAUUGCAAUAUAUGGGUCAUCUAUUAAAAGAACUGAAUCCAGGUUUUGUGUUCUUCCAACAGAUGACCAAUCUGUUACAAUAGCUGAAUCAUCUAUUGGAAGAACUCAAUCCUAGCAAGGGGUUUAUUUAUUAAUAAAAUAAAUUAAUUAAAAAGGUGAAAAUUCAUGGUUUUUCAAUUAUUUAAUAAAGACAUAUGGUUCAUAAAUAAAUAAUAAGAAAAAAAAUAAUAAACACAAGUUUAAACCAUAAAAAAUAGUUAAAUUUUAAUAACUAAUGUUGAUAUUAAAAAGGUGAAAAGUCAUGAUUUUUCGCCUUUUUGUAUUUUAAUCCAUUUUUUAAUUUAAAUAAUCAAAAAAUUGCCAGUUUUAUUGAAAUAAGGGAUAUAAUUAUAAAAAAGGAUGUGAACAGUCGUGACUUUUUCCCUAACAAAUUCAAAUUCAAUAAUCUAUAAAUAGGAUCAUACACAUUCAUUAUCCUCCACUUUAUUUAUUCCUUGCAUCCUGUCAUUUAUAAAACACAUACCAUUACAUCUUCAACAACUUCUCUUUCAAAAGAAAAUUCCUUUUUUGUCCGUUGAGGUAUGAUGUAUUUUAUUGUUCUAACAUGAAAACUAUUAACGUGUUAUGAUUUUUCAUAAAACUACCAGUUGGUAGUAUGCAUUGUAAUACAUUCAGACUCUUUUUUCUUCUUUAGUGUUUUAUAUUUUUCUUAAUGCAUACAAUUUCUAGAUAUAGCAGAUCUGAUUUUGGACAUGACGAUUUUGCUCAACACCAUAGGGAAAUUUGGAAGUUUGUUUUAUGAACUUCGAUGGGAUUUGGGUGUACGAGAGCAAAGGUGUUUUUUGUGAUUUAAAGGUUGAGGUCCCUACUGCUGCCUAAUUGAUUUUCGAUUGACAAUAAUUAUAAUAAUAAUAAUUAGGUUAUGGUUUUUUUAUCAUAUGUAUUUUUCUAUUUAUAUCAGAUCUACAUAAUGCAUGUCUUGUUUUACUUGGUUUUGUAUUCUAUAUGUAAUGAAUGAAAAAAUUUAUGUUUGGUCAACUUUGACUUUAUUUCUUAUUUAAUUUUUAGUUGUGUCU
rnacentral:lncRNA from 1 species